UUUCCGUAGGUGAACCUGCGGAAGGAUCAUUAUUGUAUAACCGAGGUGCGAGGGCUGUCGCUGACCCGAAAGGUCGUGCACGCCCGAGUGCCCUCACACACAUCCACCUCACCCCUAUGUGCACCACCGCGUGGGUCCCCCUUUGGCUUGUUCGGAGGGGGGCUUACGUUUUCACACAAACUCUGUAUGCAGUGUAGAAUGUAUUUUUUGUUUUUGCGAUCACGCAAUCAAUACAACUUUCAACAACGGAUCUCUUGGCUCUC
rnacentral:misc_RNA from 1 species